rnacentral:rRNA from 1 species
AGUGAACGCUGGCGGUAGGCCUGACACAUGCCAGUCGAACGGCAGCACAGUAAGAGCUUGCUCUUACGGGUGGCGAGUGGCGGACGGGUGAGGAAUACAUCGGAAUCUACUUUUUCGUGGGGGAUAACGUAGGGAAACUUACGCUAAUACCGCAUACGACCUACGGGUGAAAGCAGGGGAUCUUCGGACCUUGCGCGAUUGAAUGAGCCGAUGUCGGAUUAGCUAGUUGGCGGGGUAAAGGCCCACCAAGGCGACGACCCGUAGCUGGUCUGAGAGGAUGAUCAGCCACACUGGAACUGAGACACGGUCCAGACUCCUACGGGAGGCAGCAGUGGGGAAUAUUGGACAAUGGGCGCAAGCCUGAUCCAGCCAUACCGCGUGGGUGAAGAAGGCCUUCGGGUUGUAAAGCCCUUUUGUUGGGAAAGAAAAGCAGCAGGUUAAUACCCCGCUGUUCUGACGGUACCCAAAGAAUAAGCACCGGCUAACUUCGUG